rnacentral:lncRNA from 12 species
CCUCAAUCUAUAGAUUGAUCUAAAUGUGUCUGUUCCUGGAUUUCAGGUCUAGACCUGAGUCAACUGAGCUUCUCCAGUGUGUGGUGAUCCUUAAAUUGGACUUGGAGUCAUGAGAAAAGGUGCUGGAAAACUUGGUGCUGGCUCUGAAUUGCCAUUCAAGCACACAGGUCUGACAUUUCUAGAAAGAUACAUUUGUUGUGUUUUCUGUCAAUGCUGUUUUAUACAGAAGUUAUUUAUUUAUUAAACCAUAAGGAGUUAAUGGAGAGGUUUCUUCAAUUCUGUGUCAUGCUGGAAAUGUCUCUGGAAGGGAUUGAAUGAAGUGAUAUACAGGGAAGAGCAAAGGUGCAGAUAAAGCUCAAGGAAAGGAUGGAAAAGGAGCCAAAAGCUUCGUGUGAGUCAAGAGGUGCAGAAGUGCUGCCAAGCAUUGGUUCCCACCAUGGCAGGAACGACUCCUGGGGUGGUGAAUUCCAAAGAAACGGCUCUGUGGUGGCUGGCACCGACUGCAGCAGGAAAGUCAUGCAGAGAGAGGAACAAGGCAGCAGUGCCCUGCUUGGCACACCUGCUCCAGCAGUUGAGGCUGGACAAUUCCCUUCAGCAAAGUCCACUCUGCCACUGUUAGACUGGAGAAACAAGACCAAAGGGCUCAGCUAA